AAUUAAUAAAAGGAAUGGAACAUAUCCGCUAUGAAGAAAGGUUAACAAAUUUAAACCUAUUUAGUUUAGAAAAACGUCUCCUGAGAGGGGAUAUGAUAACAUUAUACAAAUAUAUUCGGGGCCAAUACAAACUAUUGUGUGGAAAUUUAUUCACAAACCGGACUUUACAUAGGACACGAGGUCAUGCGUUUAGACUGGAAGA